GCGAAGAUAGUUUAAGGAGAAUAUAAAAUUGUCGAUUUUAAGGUGCCUUUUGGUUCUUUGUU
rnacentral:tRNA from 1 species